rnacentral:lncRNA from 1 species
GAGAAUUAAAAGGAGACAAAUAAUAAUAGACAAAACCACACUUAUAGUUGAAUAUUUUAACAUUUUUCUAUCAUGAAUUGAUGAGAAAACAAGACAAAAUAAUCAGUAAUCAUAUAAAAGAUUAAAAGAUUUGAACACCAUCAAACAAUCUAACCUAAUAAACAUGAAUAAAAGACUACACUCAUCAGCUACAGAAUACAGAUUCUUUUUAAGUGCAUACAGAACAUUUACCAAGAGAGAACAUAUGCUGGGCUGUGAAAUAAAUAUUAUUUUAAAGGAUUGAAGUCAUACAGUGUAAGUUCUCUGACAACAGAAAUCAAUAACAAUAUCUAGAAAAGCACUCAACUUUUAACAAUUAACUAGCACACUUCUAAUCAUAAGGGAAUCAUAAGCAAUUUCAAAUCACAAGGGAAAUUAGAAAAAUAUUUUUAACUGAAUAGUAAUGAAAAUACAGUAUGUCAAAAACUGUGGUAUAUAGCUUAACUUCUUCUAGAGAUAAAUUUAUAAUUUAAAAUGCUUAUACUAGAAAAGAUGGUUUGAAACGAACGAUCCAGGCCAGGCCUCCAUAUUAAGAAGCUAGAAAAUAAAGAGAAAAUUAAACCUAAAUAGAAGGAAGGAAAUAAAAAUAAAAGUGGAAAUUAAUCAAACAGAGAACAGCCAAACCACAGGAAAAAACAAGAGCCAAAAGUUGGUUUUUGAAAAAGGUUAAUGAAAUGUAUCAACGCUUAGUAAGAUUAAUGAAGAGUAGAGAGAAAACACAAACUACCAAUAUCAGGAAUAUUAUUACAGAGCCCACAGAUAUUUAGAGGAUAUCAAGAGAAUAGUAUCAGCAACUUAAUAACAACAAAUUUGACAACUUACAUAAAAUGGAAAACGUCCUUUAAAAACACAACAAAAAUUGCACAAGAGGAAAGAGAAAGUCUAAAUAGCCCUAUGUUGAUUUAAAAAAACUGAAUAAUUAAGAACCUUUAAGGGGAGUGUGCUGAUGUCUACAACUUACUUAGGAAUGCACCAAAAAAAAGAUGGAGUGAUGCAUAGAUAGAUGGGUUUCUGAUAAGGAAAGUAUAAUAAAAUGUUAAUUUAAGAAAUGGACAUGAUUGUCAUACAAUUCUGUCCAUUUUUCUAUUUUUUUAAAAUUGUUUUUUUUCUUUUUUUUUAUGCCUUUUGGAGAGGAAGAUUGGCUCCGAGCUAACAUCUAUUGCCAAUUUUCCUCUUUUUUAUUACCCUCCCGCAAAGCCCCAGUACAGUUAUAUAUCCUAGUUGUAGGUCAUUCUACUUCUAUGUGGGACGCCACUACAGCAUGGCUCCAUAAGCAGCAUAUAGGUCUGCGCCCAGGACCCAAACCGGCGAACCCCAGGCCACCAAAGUGGAGCAUGUGAACUUAACUACUUGGCCACAGGGCUGGCCCUCUGUCCAUUUUUCUGAGUGGUUGAAAUUUUUCAUAAUAAAACUUUAAGUAAAAAGCCAGCAUUUUCUGUAAACUUACCCACAAAUAAAACUCCAGCACCAUAUGGUGGUGGAGUAAAUCAAACACGUAAGGAAAAAAUAAUGCCAUUCUUACACAAACUUUUUCAGAAAAUAAAGAUGGAAUACUGUUGAACUCAUUUUAUAAGGCCUGCAUAACUCUGAUACCAAAACCUAACAAGAACAUCAUGAGAAAAGAAAAUUACAGACCCAUGUCUUUGUGAACAUAGGUGGAAAAAUCCUUAGCAAAAUAUUACUAAACUGAAUAACACAUCAUGAACAAGUAUGACUUAUUCUAGGAAUGCAAGGUUGGUUUAACAUUUGAAAAGCAAGCCUUGUAAUUCACCACAUUAACAAAAUAAAGGAGAAAAAUCUUGCAAAUAUCUCAACAAAUGCAGAGACAGCAUUUGUCAAAAUUCAAUACCUGUUUAUAAUUAAAAACCCUAAACAAAUUAAAAGUAAAAGGGAACUUCCUGAAUUUGAUAAAAGGCAUCUAUGAAAAAUCUAUAGCUAACAUCAUACUCAUUGGUGAAAGACUGAGUAUCUUCCCCUAAGAUCAGGAAUAAGGAAAUGCUGCUCUCAUAGCUUCUUUUCCACAUUAUACUGGAGGUUCUAGCUGGAGGAAUAAAUAAGAAAAAGAAAUAAAAGGCAUACAAAUUAGAGAGCAAGAAGUAAACCGCUUCUGUUCACAGAAAAGGUGAUUGUGCACAUACAAAGUCCUAAGGAAUUUCUUUACAAAGCUAUUAGACUAAUAAGUGAGUUUAGCACGGCUGCAGGCUACAGAUACAAACAUCGAUUAUAUUUCCAUAUACUACCAACAAACAACCGGAAAAUUAAAAUAGUGAGGAUUAAAUUUAAUAAAGGAUGCACUAGCCUUCUCCAAGGAGAGACCAUGUUCAUAAGUGGCAAGAUUCAAUAUUGAUUGAUAACAUGUCAAUUCUUUUCAAGUUGAUCUAUAGAUCAAUGCCAUCUCAAUCAAAAUUUCAGCAGGCUUUUUGGGUACAAACUGACAAGCUGAUUUAAAAUUUGCACGGAAAUGCAAAAGAUCUGAAAUAAUCAAAACAAUGUUAGACAAAAACAAAGUUGGAGGAUUUACACUAUCUGACCUCAAGACUGUCUAUGAAGCUGCAGGAAUCUAGAUGAUGUAAACAUACCCGUCAAUGGAAUCAUUCAGAGUCUAGCAACAGACCCAGCUCUGUUCAGUGAGUUGAUUUUCGACAAAGGCACCAGAAAAAUUCAGUGGGGGAAGGGACACUUUCUUUCACGUGCACAGGCCACUCUGCACUCACAGGCCAUUCGCCUGGGUUUCUGCACUUGGUGGGGGUACCCACAUGGUGACUGAGCCAUGCCCCUCAGUGUGGAGCAUUCCCACAAGCCAAGCUGCAACUCUGAAAGUGAAAGCAUUUGUGCACAGGCCUGCCUGCUCCCCACCUCCUCUUACAGUCAUGUGCUGGCUCUGCGUGAGGGCCCACAACCUAGAUUGCUGCUGCUGGGGGGACAGGGGAAAGGGAUCUGCUCACCUCCUUCCACUGCUUCCUAGGGACCCAGUAGCCCCAUCUUCAGAUGUAUGGCUGCAUGGAUCUCUCAGAUGUCCUCUUGUGCUUUGUAGGGAAUCCUCUGUUGGUUAAUGAAGGUCUGUUUGGAGAGACUACGGGAACAGCUCACUCCACCAUGAUGCUGAUGUCGCUCUAGUAGAUUUUUUUAAACUUUUAGAUUUCCUGGUUCUAUGAUCAUGUCAGUGGCAAAUAGAGACAAUUGUUGCAUCUCCUUCUCCAAUAUUUACAUGCAUUACUUUGUCCUUGGCUGAACCGAGCACAACAAUGCUGACCAACAGUGACAGCAGGAGUCCCACCACAUCCCAGUUUUGCUGGACUUGGCUGUCACAUU